rnacentral:rRNA from 1 species
GACGAACGCUGGCGGCGUGCCUAAUACAUGCAAGUCGAACGCAUUUUCUUUCACCGUAGCUUGCUACACCGAAAGAAAAUGAGUGGCGAACGGGUGAGUAACACGUGGGUAACCUGCCCAUCAGCGGGGGAUAACACUUGGAAACAGGUGCUAAUACCGCAUAAUUCCAUUUACUGCAUGGUAGAUGGAUGAAAGGCGCUUUUGCGUCACUGAUGGAUGGACCCGCGGUGCAUUAGCUAGUUGGUGGGGUAACGGCCUACCAAGGCUGCGAUGCAUAGCCGACCUGAGAGGGUGAUCGGCCACACUGGGACUGAGACACGGCCCAGACUCCUACGGGAGGCAGCAGUAGGGAAUCUUCGGCAAUGGACGCAAGUCUGACCGAGCAACGCCGCGUGAGUGAAGAAGGUUUUCGGAUCGUAAAACUCUGUUGUUAGAAAAGAACCAGGAUGAGAGUGGAAAGUUCAUCCCUUGACGGUAUCUAACCAGAAAGCCACGGCUAACUACGUG